rnacentral:misc_RNA from 1 species
GUAGGUGAACCUGCGGAAGGAUCAUUAUUGAAAUAAACCUGAUGGGUUGCUGCUGGCUCUCUAGGGAGCAUGUGCACACCUUGUCAUCUUUAUAUCUCCACCUGUGCACCUUUUGUAGACCCUCUCCAGGUCUAUGUUGCUUCAUUUUACCCCAAUGUAUGUUAAAAGAAUGUUGUGCUUAUAAAAUCAAUACAACUUUCAGCAACGGAUCUCUUGGCUCUC